UACGGGGGGAGCAAGCGUUGUUCGGAUUUACUGGGCGUAAAGGGCGCGUAGGCGGCCACCGCAAGUCGACUGUGAAAUCUCCGGGCUUAACCCGGAAAGGUCAGCCGAUACUGCGGGGCUAGAGUGCAGAAGGGGCAACUGGAAUUCUCGGUGUAGCGGUGAAAUGCGUAGAUAUCUGGAGGAACACCGGUGGCGAAGGCGGCGUUCUGGACUGUUUCUGACACUGAAUAACGAAAGCCAGGGGAGCAAACGGG
rnacentral:rRNA from 1 species